UCAGCUCAAACAGCGGCACCUGAAGAAACAAAGGUGGAUAGAGAGAAGGUCCAGAGGCUGCUGGAGGAUCUGUGGGUGUGUGUAGCUCCUCCCUCAUCACACCUCCCUGCCAGGAGAAAACAGCAGUUAAAGGAGCACCUACAGGACAGCA